rnacentral:lncRNA from 1 species
UUCCACACUCCUUGAAGAGUACUUUGCUCCUUGUUUUUCCAGUAAGUUCUUAUCAUAGCAGGAAAUUCCUUAUGCUGGAUCCAAGCAUUGAAGAAUCUGAAUGGUGUCUUCCUUGCAGAUGUAUCUGUUGUCAGGGUUAGUAACAUGGGAUUGUGAUCAGAGAUGAGGGGAGGUCCAUAUACAGUGUGCACAUGAUUCCACUUCAUCUGCCAUUCAAAGUUGCCAAAUACCCUAUCCAGUCUACUACAUACUCUAUCAUUACCACUUUGUUGAUUAGACCAGGUAAAGAAAUUUCCCUUCCAUGGAAGCUCAACCAGGUCGGUCUUCCUUGCAGAGGUAUCUGUUGUCAGGGUUAGUGACAUCGGAUUGUGAUCAGAGAUGAGGGGAGGUCCAUAUACAGUGUGUACAUCAUUCCACUUCAUCUGCCAUUCAAAGUUGCCAAAUACCCUAUCCAGUCUACUACAUACUCUAUCAUUACCACUUUGUUGAUUAGACCAGGUAAAGAAAUUUCCCUUCCAUGGAAGCUCAACCAGGUCUGAUUGCUGAAUGCAGUUAUUAAAAUCAACAAGGUCCUUUUGCUUAACUUGUUGGCAGGAUUAUCUUUCCUUGCUAUACAGUAUGGCAUUAAAAUCACCUGCAAUGAUCCAGGGAUCAGUAAUACCAGCAGAUAAGUUUAGAAUAGACUUCCACGGCAUCCUCCUCUGAUCACAUUCAUUAAAACCAUAUACUAC